rnacentral:rRNA from 1 species
CCUACGUGAGGCAGCAGUGGGGAAUAUUGGACAAUGGGCGAAAGCCUGAUCCAGCCAUGCCGCGUGUGUGAAGAAGGCCUUCGGGUUGUAAAGCACUUUCAGUGGGGAAGAAAGCCUUGGGGCUAAUACCCUCGAGGAAGGACAUCACCCACAGAAGAAGCACCGGCUAACUCCGUGCCAGCAGCCGCGGUAAUACGGAGGGUGCGAGCGUUAAUCGGAAUUACUGGGCGUAAAGCGCGCGUAGGCGGUCUGAUAAGCCGGUUGUGAAAGCCCCGGGCUCAACCUGGGAACGGCAUCCGGAACUGUCAGGCUAGAGUGCAGGAGAGGAAGGUAGAAUUCCCGGUGUAGCGGUGAAAUGCGUAGAGAUCGGGAGGAAUACCAGUGGCGAAGGCGGCCUUCUGGACUGACACUGACGCUGAGGUGCGAAAGCGUGGGUAGCAAACAGGAUUAGAUACCCCAGUAGUC